CAUGAAGUCGGAAUUGCUAGUAAUCGCGAUCAGCAUGCCGCGGUGAAUACGUUCCCGGGCCUUGUACACACCGCCCGUCACACCAUGGGAGCCGGUAAUACCCGAAGUCAGUAGUCCAACCUCGUGAGGACGCUGCCGAAGGUAGGAUUGGCGACUGGGGUGAAGUCGUAACAAGGUAUC
rnacentral:rRNA from 1 species